rfam:Pteropus alecto contig54247, whole genome shotgun sequence.
GGCUCCAUAGUAUAGUGGUUAGUGCGUCUGCUUUACACACAGAAGAUCCUGGGUUUGUACCUCAGGUGGAGCCA